rnacentral:rRNA from 1 species
GACGAACGCUGGCGGCGUGCUUAACACAUGCAAGUCGAGCGGUAAGGCCCUUUCGGGGGUACACGAGCGGCGAACGGGUGAGUAACACGUGGGUGACCUGCCCUUAGCUCUGGGAUAAGCCUGGGAAACUGGGUCUAAUACCGGAUAUGACUCCAUGACGCAUGUUGUGGGGUGGAAAGCCUUGUGCGGCUAGGGAUGGGCCCGCGGCCUAUCAGCUUGUUGGUGGGGUGAUGGCCUACCAAGGCGACGACGGGUAGCCGGCCUGAGAGGGCGACCGGCCACACUGGGACUGAGACACGGCCCAGACUCCUACGGGAGGCAGCAGUGGGGAAUCUUGCGCAAUGGGCGAAAGCCUGACGCAGCGACGCCGCGUGGGGAUGACGGCCUCGGUUGUAACGU